rnacentral:tRNA from 1 species
GGGGUUGUGGCUCAGCGGUAGAGCGCUUGCCUGGUACAUGCAAGGCCCUAGGUUCGAUUCUCAGCACCA